rnacentral:tRNA from 1 species
AAGAGUUUAAGUUAAUCAAACUAUUAGCCUUCAAAGCUAACAAUAGAUCUUAUCUAUCUCUUG